rnacentral:lncRNA from 1 species
AAAAAUUAGAAGCUUACUAUUCCCUUGUAUUCUUAGAAUCUUCAAGUAUUUGUUUCUGAGUUUGCUAUUGGGUCAUUUACUACUGCUCUACUGGUUCUGCUAUAAUUUUGUGUGUUUUUCAUAACCGGUACUGGAUACUAUUUCCGUUGCGAUUUUUUGUUUGGUUUUCAAGUUCGUCCCUGGGUUUUUCUGCUACUGGUUGCUGGUUACCGCAGGUUAUAUUUGUUGUCGUGCUAUGUAUGCUACUGUUUCUGCCAUCACUGACUUUCCUUCUCCUUCUUUGUUUCCAAAUAUCAGGUACACAUUGCUAUACUAGUACACUUAUAGCUGAAACUUGAAGCAUGAAUGAAAUGAAGUCUUAAAACUCCGAAGUUAUUUAGUUGUGAUUUUGUAUACUAAGUUGUAUGAUAUGUAGUCAUUAAUUUUUUUUUUCUUAGAAUUAUAUGAGUAGUCUGCUAUGUAUAAAUAAGUACUGAUCCAGAGUAGUUAGCUUGCAAACCCUUUCCUACGUAUGCUAGUUAAAUAAUGUUUAUGAUGUAGUAAUAAUGAUUCUAGUAGGUCAGUUUAGCUUGUUUACAAAUAUGUAUCAAAUAUACAACAUGUUUUAAGAUAAUUACUCAACGGGUUUGAACCAUUUUGGUUAAUAACUGGCUUACUUAGAUUCAUGAAGAACAAGCUUAAUUAGAUAUAACUGAUUCGUCUUCAGCCUUUGCAAAUGCC